UAGCUAGUUGGUGAGGUAACGGCCCACCAAGGCGACGAUCGGUAGCCGGACUGAGAGGUUGAACGGCCACAUUGGGACUGAGACACGGCCCAGACUCCUACGGGAGGUAGCAGUGGGGAAUAUUGCACAAUGGGGGAAACCCUGAUGCAGCGACGCCGCGUGGAGGAAGAAGGUCUUCGGAUUGUAAACUCCUGUUGUUGGGGAAGAUAAUGACGGUACCCAACAAGGAAGUGACGGCUAACUACGUGCCAGCAGCCGCGGUAAAACGUAGGUCACAAGCGUUGUCCGGAAUUACUGGGUGUAAUGGGAGCGCAGGCGGGAAGACAAGUUGGAAGUGAAAUCUAUGGGCUCAACCCAUAAACUGCUUUCAAAACUGUUUUUCUUGAGUAGUGCAGAGGUAGGCGGAAUUCCCGGUGUAGCGGUGGAAUGCGUAGAUAUCGGGAGGAACACCAGUGGCGAAGGCGGCCUACUGGGCACCAACUGACGCUGAGGCUCGAAAGUGUGGGUAGCAAACAGGAUUAGAUACCCUGGUAGUCCACACCGUAAACGAUGAUUACUAGGUGUUGGAGGAUUGACCCCUUCAGUGCCGCAGUUAACACAAUAAGUAAUCCACCUGGGGAGUACGACCGCAAGGUUGAAACUCAAAGGAAUUGACGGGGGCCCGCACAAGCAGUGGAGUAUGUGGUUUAAUUCGACGCAACGCGAAGAACCUUACCAAGUCUUGACAUCCCUUGACAGGCAUAGAAAUAUGUUUUCUCUUCGGAGCAAGGAGACAGGUGGUGCAUGGUUGUCGUCAGCUCGUGUCGUGAGAUGUUGGGUUAAGUCCCGCAACGAGCGCAACCCUUAUGGUCAGUUACUACGCAAGAGGACUCUGGCCAGACUGCCGUUGACAAAACGGAGGAAGGUGGGGAUGACGUCAAAUCAUCAUGCCCUUUAUGACUUGGGCUACACACGUACUACAAUGGCGUUAAACAAAGAGAAGCAAGACCGCGAGGUGGAGCAAAACUCAGAAACAACGUCCCAGUUCGGACUGCAGGCUGCAACUCGCCUGCACGAAGUCGGAAUUGCUAGUAAUCGUGGAUCAGCAUGCCACGGUGAAUACGUUCCCGGGCCUUGUACACACCGCCCGUCACACCAUGAGAGCCGGGGGGACCCGAAGUCGGUAGUCUAACCGCAAGGAGGACGCCGCCGAAGGUAAAACUGGUGAUUGGGGUGAAGUCGUAACAAGGUAG
rnacentral:rRNA from 1 species